CGGGGCGUAGCGCAGUCUGGUAGCGCAUUCGGUUUGGGACCGAAAGGUCAGAGGUUCGAAUCCUCUCGCCCCGACCA
rnacentral:tRNA from 1 species